rnacentral:tRNA from 1 species
GGGAAUGUAGCUCAGUGGCACAGCACCUGCCUGGCAAGCGCGAGGCCCUGAGUUCAAUUCCCAGUACCA